GCUUGUCUCAAAGAUUAAGCCAUGCAUGUCUAAGUAUAAACGACUUUAUACUGUGAAACUGCGAAUGGCUCAUUAUAUCAGUUAUAGUUUAUUUGAUGGUCCUUGCUACUUGGAUAACCGUAGUAAUUCUAGAGCUAAUACAUGCAUUAAACACUGACUUCUGGAAGGGGUGUAUUUAUUAGAUGGAAACCAAUGCGGGGUAACCCGGAAUAUGGUGAUUCAUAAUUAUUUUCGGAUCGAUUUAUCGAUGCAUCAUUCAAGUUUCUGCCCUAUCAGCUUUGGAUGGUAGGGUAUUGGCCUACCAUAGCUUUAACGGGUAACGGAGAAUUAGGGUUCGAUUCCGGAGAGGGAGCCUGAGAAAUGGCUACCACAUCCAAGGAAGGCAGCAGG
rnacentral:rRNA from 1 species